CCUACGUGAGUCAGCAGUGGGGAAUAUUGGUCAAUGAGCGCAAGCCUGACCCAGCAACGCCUCGUGAAGGAAGAAGGCUUUCGGGUUUUACACUUCUUUUCUGAGGGACGAACAAAGUGACGGUACCUCAGUAAUAAGCAACGCCUAACUACGUGCCACCAGCCGCGCUAAUACGUCGGUGGCAAUCGUUAUCCGGAUUUAUUGGGUGUAAAGGGCGUGUAGGCGGGAAAGCAAGUCCGAUGUGAAAACUCAGGGCUCCACCCUGAGCCUGCAUUUGAAACUGUUUUUCUUGAGUGCUGGAGAGGCAAUCGGAAUGCCGGGUGUAGCGGUGAAAUGCGUAGAUAUACGGAGGAACACCAGUGGCGAAGGCGGAUUGCUGGACAGUAACUGACGCUGAGGCGCGAAAGCGUGGGGAGCAAACAGGAUUAGAUACCCCUGUAGUC
rnacentral:rRNA from 1 species